rnacentral:rRNA from 1 species
CCUACGGGGUGCUGCAGUGGGGAAUAUUGGACAAUGGGCGAAAGCCUGAUCCAGCCAUGCCGCGUGUGUGAAGAAGGCCUUCGGGUUGUAAAGCACUUUCAGUGGGGAAGAAAGCCUUGGGGCUAAUACCCUCGAGGAAGGACAUCACCCACAGAAGAAGCACCGGCUAACUCCGUGCCAGCAGCCGCGGUAAUACGGAGGGUGCGAGCGUUAAUCGGAAUUACUGGGCGUAAAGCGCGCGUAGGCGGUCUGAUAAGCCGGUUGUGAAAGCCCCGGGCUCAACCUGGGAACGGCAUCCGGAACUGUCAGGCUAGAGUGCAGGAGAGGAAAGUAGAAUUCCCGGUGUAGCGGUGAAAUGCGUAGAGAUCGGGAGGAAUACCAGUGGCGAAGGCGGCCUUCUGGACUGAUACUGACGCUGAGGUGCGAAAGCGUGGGUAGCAAACAGGAUUAGAUACCCGGGUAGUC